rnacentral:rRNA from 1 species
UACGUAGGGGGCAAGCGUUGUCCGGAUUUAUUGGGCGUAAAGAGCGUGUAGGCGGCCACACAGGUCUGCUGUGAAAACUCGAGGCUCAACCUCGAGCUGUCGGUGGAAACCGUGUGGCUAGAGUCCGGAAGAGGAGAGUGGAAUUCCCGGUGUAGCGGUGAAAUGCGCAGAUAUCGGGAAGAACACCAGUGGCGAAGGCGGCUCUCUGGGACGGUACUGACGCUGAGACGCGAAAGCGUGGGGAGCGAACAGG